GGCAAGAUGGCCGAGUUGGUUAUGGCGCCAGGUUAAGGUUGCAGCUUAACAGUCUGUGAGCGAUCGCAGUAUUCCUGGUGGAGCAAUCCGCGUGGGUUCAAGUCCCACUCUUGUCA